GAUGAACGCUGGCGGCGUGCCUAAUACAUGCAAGUCGAGCGAACAGACGAGGAGCUUGCUCCUCUGACGUUAGCGGCGGACGGGUGAGUAACACGUGGAUAACCUACCUAUAAGACUGGGAUAACUUCGGGAAACCGGAGCUAAUACCGGAUAAUAUAUUGAACCGCAUGGUUCAAUAGUGAAAGACGGUUUUGCUGUCACUUAUAGAUGGAUCCGCGCCGCAUUAGCUAGUUGGUAAGGUAACGGCUUACCAAGGCAACGAUGCGUAGCCGACCUGAGAGGGUGAUCGGCCACACGGGAACUGAGACACGGUCCAGACUCCUACGGGAGGCAGCAGUAGGGAAUCUUCCGCAAUGGGCGAAAGCCUGACGGAGCAACGCCGCGUGAGGGAUGAAGGUCUUCGGAUCGUAAAACUCUGUUAUUAGGGAAGAACAAAUGUGUAAGUAACUAUGCACGUCUUGACGGUACCUAAUCAGAAAGCCACGGCUAACUACGUG
rnacentral:rRNA from 1 species